UACGGAGGGGGCUAGCGUUGUUCGGAAUUACUGGGCGUAAAGCGCACGUAGGCGGCUUUGUAAGUUAGAGGUGAAAGCCCGGAGCUCAACUCCGGAACUGCCAUUGAAACUGUAAGACUUGAGGACGAGAGAGGUGAGUGGAAUUCCCAGUGUAGAGGUGAAAUUCGUAGAUAUUGGGAAGAACACCGGUGGCGAAGGCGGCUCACUGGCUCGUAUCUGACGCUCAGGCGCGACAGCGUGGGGAUCAAACAGG
rnacentral:rRNA from 1 species